GGCCCACGUGGCGGGGGCUGGGAGGCUGCGGGGGGCGGGCAGAGCACUGCGAAGUCCUUGCCGGCUCCAGGACCCGCCGGGUCCUCUAACGAAGUCCCGGCUUCAUGGCCGGCACAGAGAGGUAGCGUUGAGGUGUGGAGUCUUGAAGACGCUGCCCAGACUGAUGCCACCUCUGUGUCCCCAGGAUGCGUGGCGACAGCAGGAGAGGCCCCUCCCUGACCCCCAACCGCCCCCAACGCAGAAGCUCAAGGAGGCUGCGGCCUACUUGGUGAGAGGCCCAGAGGCUGCUGCAGGCCCCCAGAGAGGAGAGCAAGGUCGCAGCCAUGGACUUAGAAAUCAACCACUGCAAUAUAAAGGAAUGAAUUAAUGGUAUUUGCAGCAACCUAGAUGAGAUUGCAGACUAUUAUUCUCAGGGAAGUAACUCAGAAAUGGAAAAACCAAACAUCUUAUG
rnacentral:lncRNA from 1 species